AUUGAACGCUGGCGGCAUGCCUUACACAUGCAAGUCGAACGGUAACGGGCCUUCGGGUGCCGACGAGUGGCGAACGGGUGAGUAAUACAUCGGAACGUGCCCGAUCGUGGGGGAUAACGAGGCGAAAGCUUUGCUAAUACCGCAUACGAUCUACGGAUGAAAGCAGGGAACCGCAAGGCCUUGCGCGGACGGAGCGGCCGAUGGCAGAUUAGGUAGUUGGUGGGAUAAAAGCUUACCAAGCCGACGAUCUGUAGCUGGUCUGAGAGGAUGAUCAGCCACACUGGGACUGAGACACGGCCCAGACUCCUACGGGAGGCAGCAGUGGGGAAUUUUGGACAAUGGGCGCAAGCCUGAUCCAGCCAUGCCGCGUGCAGGAUGAAGGCCUUCGGGUUGUAAACUGCUUUUGUACGGAACGAAAAGCCUUCUUUUAAUACAGGAGGGUCAUGACGGUACCGUAAGAAUAAGCACCGGCUAACUACGUG
rnacentral:rRNA from 1 species